UGAGAGGUGGUGCAUGGCCGUCGUCAGUUCGUACUGUGAAGCAUCCUGUUAAGUCAGGCAACGAGCGAGACCCACGUCCACAGUUGCCAGCAUACCCUCCGGGGUGAUGGGUACACUGUGGAGACCGCCGCUGCUAAAGCGGAGGAAGGAGUGGGCAACGGUAGGUCAGUAUGCCCCGAAUCUCCCGGGCUACACGCGGGCUACAAUGGUUGGUACAAUGGGCAUCUACCCCGAAAGGGGAAGGAAAUCUCUUAAAGCCAAUCGUAGUUCGGAUUGAGGGCUGCAACUCGCCCUCAUGAAGCUGGAAUCCGUAGUAAUCGCGUUUCAACAGAACGCGGUGAAUACGUCCCUGCUCCUU
rnacentral:rRNA from 1 species